CUGCUCUGUAACCUUCGGGGACUACAAUGGUUAGGGGCGUCUACUCGGAUCAGCAAAGGUGCUAGCUACGUUGACGCGGUGCUCUGCUUGGCUGUGUGUCGGGAUUCCGGCGCCCUCUGUAGAGGGGAUGUUGGGUUCCGUUAAAGUAGGGGAAUCGGGUCAGGCCGGAAACGGAGCAGCCCACCUCGCGCACGUCGGUCGUUGCAGAAUAACACCGCGGAGUAUGUCUACACUGGCGCCCCGAGGGG